UGAGGGCUGUUUUGGCGGCAAAAGGGGGACCUACACAAUAUUAGGCAGGUGGAAAUGUUUUAGUCUUAAUGAAACGCAUCAAUUCUGGUAAUUAUUUUUACACUUUGUUGCCACAUUGAUACAGUGCCUUCGGAAAGUAUUCAAACCCUUCACUUUCCCAAUGUUGCUGUGUUCCCCUCCCUGCAGAGAACCUCAAUCUCUAUUAGAGUACCCAUUGGGUUGUUGAUCACCUCCUUGAACCAGGCCAUUCUUGCCUGGUACCUAAAAUGAGCUGCACGACCAGCUCUAUGAAUAGUUUUGAUAGUUCCAAAUGUCUUCCAUUUCACAAUGACGAAGCCCACUGCAAUCCUGGGGACUUUCAAUGCUCUAGCAAUUUGUUUAUCCCGUACCCCAAAUCUAUCCCUCAACACGAUUCCAUCUCUGCGGUUUACGGAAAGUUCCUUAGAUUUCAUGGCUUUGCUCUGACAUGCACUGUAAUGUGUGUGACCUAAUACAGGUAGGUGUGUGCCUUUUUAAAUCUGGUCCUUCAAUUUAAUUAGCCACUAGUGUAUGCCAAUGUAGUUGUGACACCUCAAGGAAGAUCAAGGCUCAAUUUGGAGUUUCAUUGUAAAGGCUCUGAUAACAUAUGUACAUGAGAUUUCCAUUAUUCAUUUUCAAUAAAUUAGCACAAAUAAAUAAAAACAUGUUUUGAAUGUUUUCAUUAGGGUAUUGUGUGUAGAGAAGAUGCCAAAGAAAAUUAUAUACAAUCAAUAAAAAAUGAAAGGAACUUUUUGUAGAAUCCUGCCUCUAGACUGAACUUUAUGCUUUUAUUUAUGCUAGUAGUACAGUAAUAGAGAACAAUAGAGAACAUUACACAACAUAAUGUGGGGGGAGUGAAGGGGUCUGAAUGCCCCUAGCAGUUCAACUCUACCCUUUAAAUUAAAGAUAUGUCUCCAUUUCACAUCCCGUCUUGAUGUGCUAGAUGUUACCCAAGGCUCUUCACCAUGAAAUUAAAUUUGGCUGUGGGAAUUGGAAAGUAGGGAAAGGACACAUCUCCUGGUCACUCAAAUAGUGUGAAGCAAUGUUUGCUCUAAACAAUGCUAUUGGCAAGUUCUGUUUCCUGUCUGUAGCAGCCAGGGGACUGGAGAGGCUGGAGCAGAGAAAGGAGAUGGGGUGCAGAGAUGGGUGUACGCACAAGAAACAGCCCAGAAAAGACUGCCUGACCAACAUUCACUGGGCUCAUCCAGCAGAGGUCUUCCUCUAGUUCUCCAGAUGCUCCAGACACGUAGAUGAGGAUCCUCUCCCAGCAAAGGCACGUAGAUGGCCUCUAUCAGGCAGGUGAGGAUGCUCUCCCAGCAAAGGCGCGUAAAUGGCCUCUAUCAGCCAGGUGAGGAUGCUCUCCCAGCAAAGGCACGUAGACGGCCUCUAUCAGCCAGGUGAGGAUGCUCUCCCAGCAAAGGCACGAAGAUGGCCUCUAUCAGCCAGGUGAGGAUGCUCUCCCAGCAAAGGCACGUAGACGGCCUCUAUCAGCCAGGUGAGGAUGCUCUCCCAGCAAAGGCACGAAGAUGGCCUCUAUCAGCCAGGUGAGGAUGCUCUCCCAGCAAAGGCACGUAGACGGCCUCUAUCAGCCAGGUGAGGAUGCUCUCCCAGCAAAGGCACGAAGAUGGCCUCUAUCAGCCAGGUGAGGAUGCUCUCCCAGCAAAGGCACGUAGACGGCCUCUAUCAGCCAGGUGAGGAUGCUCUCCCAGCAAAGGCACGAAGAUGGCCUCUAUCAGCCAGGUGAGGAUGCUCUCCCAGCAAAGGCACGUGGUGGUCUCUAUCAGCCAGGUGAGGAUGCUCUCCCAGCAAAGGCUAGAGUGACGCCAAACUGGCAAAAAAUAUUUAGUGCAGUAAUCCCCCUUCUUUCUGUGGUCUGCAGUUGUUUACUCCAUUUAACAACUCCCAUGCUCAAGGGAGUCCAAUUAAUUCUGGGCAGACAUAUUGGAUUGAACAGUAUUACACGCAUGUAACUUAAAAUUAAAUACGGUUUUGCUAGGAAGAUGUGGUCUGGGAUGGUGGCUGAAUAUAAACGCCACUAAAUCGGGCUCCAAGAUUUGUGAGUUUCGAAUCACGAGGGAAGUGCAGUACUUUGGGCAAUCCAUACUUGUGUUUUUAAGUCUGAGAAAGGUAUUGUAUGAGUGUAUACUUCUGCUAAGGGUUAAGGGUAGGCCUGUAUCCUGAUGCAUCACCCUCCUCCCUAGUUAAGUGUUUCUAAUUCUUGACUAGCAGAGGCAGAAGGAUAUAAAUUGUCAUCCCUACUUGUGCUAUAUAACCUAAUUUAACUAAUCAAUAAGAUGUUUAAUUUGUCUUUAAUAAAAUGUGUUUAAAGAUGAAAUAAUUAAUGAGUAUGAACAUGACAAACCAAUGAAUACAAUUUAAACCUGUUGCUUAGAGGCUAUGAUUUUCAAGAGCCAUUGCCCACUGAUUGUUAAAAAAAACAGCUGUGUACAUGUAUUCUGUACUUUCCUUAGCUUUUGCCUUUGGAGUCUGCAUUAGGUGUCAUUAGACAUAAUCCAUCAUGAAGAAUAGGCAGCGGUUUAUGAAAGAAAAACAUUUUGGAUGCUAUGCGAAAGGAAGAACUCAUAGUACAAAAGUUGGGCAUAUCCAAAUCAACAGUUUGGAAGUGACAGGAAGGCAAAUGUAUGGAGCUAUUUAGCGCUCCAGCUAUUUAGCUUCAUGAUCACAGUCACUUGUGUGAAUAAAGCUAAAACAGCAGGAGGAUAUAAGCGGCCAAGGAACUUUACGCAAUAACAAAUAACUUACUCCUAAAUUCGUCCAGAGUGCACUGUAGCCUAUCUACCAAUAUAUUGACUUAGCUAACCCUCAUAGUUAACUGGGAAUAUAAAGCAUAGUUGGGAAAAUAAAUUUUUGGAAAAAUCCAAUUGUUUGGAAUACCAAUGGAACGCAAGAGAACACAAGCAUUCAGAGCUGAAUAAAUCAAUGCUCUUCUUGACGAGGUAGAGAGCCACCAGCAUCCAUCGAAGACAGUAACAGUACGAUGCGGAGUUUCAGACUCAUGAACGGUUACAUUUGAACACUUUUUCUUCAUUAUUUCUUUUUUUACAGGCGUUUUUCUUUUUCCUCAGUUGACCAAUUGCAUUCAAUUAUAUUUACACACACUCGCGCACGUAUUAUAUAAUUUGUACAAAUAAAUGUGUCUGAAUCAAAACUGUUUUGAUUAUUUUUAAAACGUUCAAUUGCCUUAAUAUUAAAUAUUCGCGAUCAUUCCUCGUAUGUUUGGGGGAAGCGCUAUUUGAUAAAAACAUGAAAGUGCCUGUCGAUGGAUUAACAAGUGGUCCGGAACACACGUUAAGUGGCACGUAACAUAGCUCGUUAAUUAUGUAACGAAGCCUUCGGGAAACUCACCCAUGAGAUAACCAGGCACUUAGGUGCAUCAUACAUUCAUCUUAGUGCUUUGGGAAAGUCGGACAAAGUAGUUUUUUGGUUCAGCAGUAGCUUAUAAGAUAGGGAAGCAGAGGGUAAGUUGUCACAUGGGUAAGUUGUCACACUGUUAAUACCUACAGCACUAGAGGUGCCAUUUAAAAAAUCAAAUAGAUACUUUGUGUGACUACAUGUUCUAUGGUCAACUUCCUGUUCACAAGUGUUCAAGAUCACUCUAAUAAGUUUCUUAUUUUUCCCCUUCAAAAGUAAAAAUGUGCCACUUAAAAUUUUAUGCAAGCAAAUUUUAUUAGGUAUGAAUGUUGAAAAUUAUAAUUUUGCACUGAGUAGAGGACACAAUAACGUGUCUUUUGAUACUUUAGCUGCAGUCCUAUGUUAAGCUAACCUUGAGAUGGCCUCAAUGGCCUCAUAUGUGACAACUAGCCCCGGUACAUAAAGACACAUAGAACAUGCUCAAAAAACAUUGUAAUACUUUUUAAUCAGCUCUGAUAAUAUUAAUUAAAUGAGAUUAUUAAAAACUGUAAAUGUAUUAUUAUAUAUACGAAUAGUUUAAAGCAGCAGACAUGUCCCUGGACUAGCCUACACAGGCUCUGGCAUGUCUGUGUGUUUGUGUGUGUGUCUACUAACACACUACUUUCCUACUGUAUGAGACAACAUAUCUACACACACUACUUCAUACACUGUCAUGAAUUUAGUGUGAUGUUAUGAAUUGCAUUGUGGAAACAAGGAUAGUAGACAGGGAGAAGGGCAUAAUUAGCCUGUAAUGAAUAUGCAAUUGCAAUGAGGAAAUGUGUUUUGGAAGGAAAGAAGUAAGGAAAGAAGGAAUGAAAGGAAGAGGGGAAGGAAAGAAAUGUCGUAAGAAAUGUUAAAAGAUGACAGAGAAUGAUGACAAUGUUAAAGGCCGUCAGGCAGGUGAAGUUGCAUUUGUUAUACCAGCAUUAUUGUUUUAAUUGAAAGGCAUGAAUGGUUUUUAUUUUGAGUUCUUUAAUUAAGUUGAAUUUGGUUUUGAAUUUGCAAUCAAUAUUCACAAUGAAUUAGUUGUGUUCUUAUUUGUUGAUAAUCCAAUGUGACAACUUAUCCUACAUAGUGUGACAAUUUACCCCACUGAUGGGGCAAAUUGUCACAAGUGCACACUCUCUAUUUAACAGUCUACAACUCCGUACUGAAAUAAGAUAUGAGGAUGUAAUGAAUACCAAAUAUGUGACCAAGACGUCCCUCUUUCAUUUGGUAUGACAUUUAUAGCAUUGUGAUGUAUUGUUCCCUGUAAAUGUUACACAGUGUGAAAACAUAACCCGCUCUAUCCUACUUUUUAAUUUUGGUCACAUUUGAAAUGUAUUUUCUCCCUGUAUGUUGUCUACCAACAGCAUCACUAAACCAAUAAAUAUUAUGGGUGUUUGUGAAUGUACUUAGCAAAAGUACAUUUAUAUUAUUUAUAUUAUUAUCCUAAAUGAUGAUGAGCCUAUCCAUGUAGCCUGCUCAUCGUUUUAGGCAAGGCUGUAGCCAUGGGGUCAACAUUGGGGGGACCAAAUCAUUCGGGGUGUCCCCCAGAAAAAACAUAUUUAUAACUUAAACAAUAAAUAUUUACACAAUCUGA